rnacentral:lncRNA from 1 species
CACAAUUCUAUAUUCUUCAAUGGAAUUUUGCCUCAAUAAUGUCCACCAUCUGGUGUCAUCCAAAGGGCCAUAAUAUUUUUAAGUUUGUAGGUCUGAAAUCUCCAAACCUGCAUCAAAUUCAAGAAACCCUUCUAGACAACUUUUCAGAUGAAUCAUUGGCAAGGUAUUCUCAACACUUUUGAAACCCACCUGUGUUUACGAUCUAAAAAGUUAAAGCUCUCCCUGUGGACUAUGCAACAUCACCCCCUGUGGCAUCUUUUCCCUGUAAGAGAAAUGUGCCCAGCUUAUUUUAAAAUCCCUUCGUGUUACAUCAGUCUUCCCCAACGAGGGUACAUAACUGCAAAGAGGGUUAACUCAAUGAUCCAAUGACAAAAUCCAAUGCAAAUUAAGUAUAAAAAAGAAGGUGAGAUAAACAACACACAACCUCAAUUAAAGCAAUAAUGAUUGUUCUUUUAAAUUUCUUUUUGUAGAAUAUUCACUUUAGGAUUUAGUAAUAGCUGUCACCUAUAAACAAUUACUUGAUUCCUAUGUCUUGCUCAGCAAAUCUCCUGCCAUGUGCCAGUUCCUUGGAGUACAGAUGUAAAUACCCACCAAGGAUUAGGCAAACUUCCUUUGCAUAAAACUUGACCAUCUCUGACAGAAGUCACCAAUCUUCAGACGUAAACCACAGACUUCAACUGUGUAAAAAACACUUUUAAAAAAUACACACUUUGAUAUUCUAGUAUUUGCAAAUCAUGAUAUAUCGGUUUUUUAACUUUAUCGCUAUUAUAAAUACAAACGUCAAGAUGUUUAUUUUGAAAAUAAAUCCAGAGCAUACUACUUAUACCAGAGUCCACUACCAUGUCCUGUGAGUAGCAUGAACAUUAGCGGGUAAAAUUUUCUAUUUGAAGCAAAUAUAGAUGUCAUUGUAUGCAAUUGUGAACAUCUGAAAAAAAUCUAUGUAUGCUAUACAUAAUCAACCUGUUUAGGAUUGAAGGCCAAGUUUUUUCAAAAAUUUUAACUCUGUGAAAUAAAGUUUUAAAAACUAAUGGGUUACACCUUAGCCCAGUUUUGCAAACCACACAUGCCUAUGUGGAAAUGCAGCAGCUACCAGUGAAUAUUUUUAUUUUAGCCAAGAGAUAAGCUAAUCCCAACUCUCUUCAAUCUAUCUACUAUAUACUAUACAAUAGGUGUCUCUUAAAGCUCUAUUAAAAAAAAAAAGUUUAUAUGUUAGCUUUUUUU